rnacentral:lncRNA from 1 species
UGAACCGAGACGUUAGUGGACGAGGUUCCUUCAGGAUCAUUCAUUUAAAUUGGAACCUGAGUCUGCAAAAACAGGUGGAUGAUCCUGUAUAAUCCUGAUCAUAAUUUUUCCCACUGACAUCACUCUACGACAUAUAUUAGACAAACCUAAUCGUUUAAAGCUCUCAUGGAAUUUUCAUAUAAGAUGCAGAGAGUUAUACAUUUCGAUAAAUGUCAGAAAGUCAACAGGCUAAAAAGUGUUUUGUUAAAUGACGACAAUGAACGAUAAAAUCAUCGUUUCGUUUAAACCUUUGACACAUGUCUAGUACAAACAAGAAAUUAAGGAUUCUCAAAACGACAUGAUAAAUCUUGGCUACGUUGUUUCUCCUAUUAUGAUGGAACGUGCUGUGAUUGAUAAGCAUCUUCCUCGUGACAAAUAUGGAUUGAUGUGCACCUGUCAGGUGGCAAAAUUGCGACAUCAUUUUAAUUGUUUCGCAUGAGAUUCACGUACAAUAAGAAAAAGAUACAAGCUAGACGUGCCACAUAAUCAUUUCGAAAUAUGUCGCCUUCCAUGCAAGGGAAAAUCGUCAAUUCGGCCGAUUUGUA